AUGGGUCAGAUGAUGAUUAAAAGCAUAGUUCAAAUGAUAUUUUUUUGUGAUUAUAAAACAAUCUUUAUAGUCUUUCGCUCCUAUCUGAUGACUCUU
rnacentral:snoRNA from 1 species